AGCUGGGCUGCUUGGGUAGUUUCCUGAGAGCAUCGCUUUGAGGAAGCUGACUGAGAACAAAUGCUGCUUUCAGCAAAGCCUGGAGACCCACAGCUCAGCCGUUCCAGCUGCAGGAUAUUACUGGUGAUCACUGGUGUCUUCUUUGGG